rnacentral:rRNA from 1 species
GAUGAACGCUGGCGGCGUGCCUAAUACAUGCAAGUCGAGCGAACAGACGAGGAGCUUGCUCCUCUGACGUUAGCGGCGGACGGGUGAGUAACACGUGGAUAACCUACCUAUAAGACUGGGAUAACUUCGGGAAACCGGAGCUAAUACCGGAUAAUAUAUUGAACCGCAUGGUUCAAUAGUGAAAGACGGUUUUGCUGUCACUUAUAGAUGGAUCCGCGCCGCAUUAGCUAGUUGGUAAGGUAACGGCUUACCAAGGCAACGAUGCGUAGCCGACCUGAGAGAGGGAUCGGCCACACUGGAACUGAGACACGGUCCAGACUCCUACGGGAGGCAGCAGGAGGGAAUCUUCCGCAAUGGGCGAAAGCCUGACGGAGCAACGCCGCGUGAGUGAUGAAGGUCUUCGGAUCGUAAAACUCUGUUAUUAGGGAAGAACAAAUGUGUAAGUAACUAUGCACGUCUUGACGGUACCUAAGCAGAAAGCCACGGCUAACUACGU